ACGUAGGGUGCAAGCGUUAAUCGGAAUUACUGGGCGUAAAGCGUGCGCAGGCGGUUGUGCAAGACCGAUGUGAAAUCCCCGGGCUCAACCUGGGAAUGGCAUUGGUGACUGUACGGCUAGAGUGUGUCAGAGGGGGGUAGAAUUCCACGUGUAGCAGUGAAAUGCGUAGAGAUGUGGAGGAAUACCGAUGGCGAAGGCAGCCCCCUGGGAUAACACUGACGCUCAUGCACGAAAGCGUGGGGAGCAAACAGGAUUAGAUACCCUGGUAGUCCACGCCCUAAACGAUGUCUACUAGUUGUCGGGUCUUCAUUGACUUGGUAACGCAGCUAACGCGUGAAGUAGACCGCCUGGGGAGUACGGUCGCAAGAUUA
rnacentral:rRNA from 1 species